GUGGGGAAUAUUAGGCAAUGGGGGCAACCCUGACCCAGCGACGCCGCGUGAGGGAAGAAGGCCUUAGGGUCGUAAACCUCUGUUGUGUGGGAAGAAGGAAGUGACGGUACCACACGAGGAAGUCCCGGCUAACUACGUGCCAGCAGCCGCGGUAAUACGUAGGGGACGAGCGUUGUCCGGAAUUACUGGGCGUAAAGGGCGCGUAGGCGGUCAUUUAAGUCAGCUGUGAAAUGGUCCGGCUCAACCGGAUCAUGCGGUUGAAACUGGAUGACUGGAGUGCUGGAGAGGCAAGUGGAAUUCCCAGUGUAGCGGUGAAAUGCGUAGAUAUUGGGAAGAACACCGGUGGCGAAGGCGACUUGCUGGCCAGCAACUGACGCUGAGGCGCGAAAGCCAGGGGAGCAAACGGGAUUAGAAACCCGUGUAGUCC
rnacentral:rRNA from 1 species